rnacentral:rRNA from 1 species
AUUGAACGCUGGCGGUAUGCUUAACACAUGCAAGUCGAACGGCAGCACAGGGUAGCUUGCUAUCCGGGUGGCGAGUGGCGGACGGGUGAGUAACGCGUAGGAAUCUACCUUUUCGUGGGGGAUAACCCGGGGAAACUCGGGCUAAUACCGCAUACGCCCUACGGGGGAAAGCGGGGGACCUUCGGGCCUCGCGCGGAACGAUGAGCCUGCGUCCUAUCAGGUAGUUGGUGAGGUAAUGGCUCACCAAGCCGACGACGGGUAGCUGGUCUGAGAGGACGACCAGCCACACUGGGACUGAGACACGGCCCAGACUCCUACGGGAGGCAGCAGUGGGGAAUAUUGGACAAUGGGGGAAACCCUGAUCCAGCAAUACCGCGUGUGUGAAGAAGGCCUUCGGGUUGUAAAGCACUUUUAGCAGGAAAGAAAGACUAUGCGCUAAUACCGCAUGGUUUUGACGUUACUUGCAGAAAAAGCACCGGCUAA